GGUCCUACGGGGCGCAGCAGUAGGGAAUUUUCGUCAAUGGGCGCAAGCCUGAACGAGCAAUGCCGCGUGAACGAGGAAGGUCUUCGGAUCGUAAAGUUCUGUUGAAGGGGAAAAAGAGCGGAGAGAGGAAAUGCUUUCUGAUUGAUAUUACCCUUCGAGGAAGUCACGGCUAACUACGUGCCAGCAGCCGCGGUAAUACGUAGGUGGCAAGCGUUAUCCGGCUUUACUGGG
rnacentral:rRNA from 1 species